rnacentral:misc_RNA from 1 species
CCGAGAACCGGCGCCCUCGUGGCCCGACCCUCAAACCACCGCGUACCGAACUUGAACGUUGCCUCGGCGGGGCCCCCAGGGGACCCGCCGCAGGACGCAAACAAGACCGUUUUGUGUGACGAACGUCUGAUAUUCUUCUUCGCGAAUGCGAUAAAGUA